GUAGUCAAUAAAAAACCUGAACAUUGGUCAAAUUCUUUAACUUUGGUAUGAAUAUCAAAUAAAGAAGAUUGGUUGCCAUGGGAACAUGCAGAAUAACUUUCUCACAAAGGUUUUUGUUGCUUCAUAGUAUUGUAUUCUUGAUCUGAACACUAAAGCUAGAAAAAACAAAUGAAUGACCAUUGACAUAUUUGCUUGUUUCUCUCCAAUAAACAGCUGUUUUUCAAUUAUAUUGUAGCACACGCCAUAUAACAAAUGUUGUCCAAAAUAAACAAUAACAUAAGUUUUCAUUUAAUUGCGUUCAAUAUCAAUGUGAAUCUUCAUUUUACCCAAAAAUUCUUCAAUUGAUGGAUUUUAUUGAUGAACACAAAUGUGUUUUUAUGAAAAACAAUAGCAUAUAUGCAAAAUAAAAGUAUAAUUUUUAGACAAGAAAUUGUCUCCAUGGUUACCGUGGAAUCAAUUUCAAUUACUGAUAGCUUAAUUAAAACUUUAACAUUUCAAUAUCACUGCCUGAAAGUUUGAAUGUUGUAGAACAAGUAUUAUUUAAAUUGUAUUCUUUUAAAGUCAAUGGGUGAUAUAUUUAACAUUCACUCAAAACAACUCAGCAGUGAGCACUGAACUACACUUACAACAUUGCAGCAUGGUAAGGGUUAAAAGAGAAUGUUGAUGAGCCUGAUCCGUCGAUUCAAAUACCAUAACACAGCCAACCCAAAAAAAACAACAGCAAACAAGUGAGCAAGCUGACAAAGCUGCAACUUCAGGGAGCAAUUAUAAGGGUCAUCAAGAUGGAGCCAGGAUUCAUGAUGCUCAUAUUAGAGGUGCUGGACCAGAGUCUGAGGAAGGGAGUAGAACUCCAAGCUGGUUUGAGUGUGCUUCAACUGCCGGGACAUUUCAAUGCAGAGUUAAAAAGUUUGUUGUUGCCGGGAGGCCAGUCUUUCUCAAACUGCUGACUCUGACCUCCUUGUUUUGAAUGAAGAAGUUCUAACCCUUGCCCAUUUGAUGAGGCAGGAUUUCUUGUGUUCAUUGAUGAGGAGGACCAGGUGCAACCCAACUAGGCGACUUAUAUUGUGUUCUGACACAGAGUUAUUUUUGGGCUGGUGACAAGAGGGCUAUUCCCUUAUGUUGUGUGGAGAGUCCAGGAAACCUUCCCGAUUCCCUAAGAACAAUACACUGGCCUUGUGCAAAGGAGGGUUCAGUAGAUGAACACAAUUUUUGCAGACGGAUUGUAUCUGUUCUCUUGAUUUUCUUAAAUAUUAAAAUAUGAUAUAAACAAUAUCAGGUCAUUUUUGUAUACUUUUGUGAAUGACUUGUUAUUUUAUAAAUACUGAUUUGUACUGUCUUUGGUUGCUAAACUGUCAUUAAGUAAUUAUCUCGUUUCAAUUUGAAAGCCAGAAAACCUGCAUGUUAUGUAUACUCAUGUUAUUGUUUAUAUUUAUGCCCCCUCCGAGGAAGAGGGGUAUAUUGCAUUGCACAUGUUGGUCGGACGAUUCGCAGCUUUGUUGGUAGACCAAAGCUUGUCUAAGUGAUAACUCAACAACUGAAGGACAGAUGGUUAUCAAACUUGACAUGAAUGUAGGGCCUGACCAGUAGAUAACCCUAUUGAUUUAAGGGGUCAUCAGGUCCAAGUUCAAGAUCACAGUGACCUUUAAUGGUAUAAAGUUGUUAAAGCUUGUCCGAGAAAUAACUAAAAAAUACCUGAACGUACGGUAUGGUUAUCAAAUUUGACAUGGAGGCUGGGCCUGAUUAGUAGAUGACCCCUAUUGAUUUUAGGAGUCAUUGGGCCAAUGGUAACAGUCACAGUGACCUUUAAGUUGAAAAGGUUAACAAAGAUUCUCUGAGUGAUAUCACAACAAUGUCUGGCCCUAUGAUCAUCAAACUUGACAUUGAGGCUGGGUAUGACCAUAACUGAUUUAAGGAGUCAUUGGCCCUAAGUGACGAAAGUGCGUUAAGAAUGAACGAGUGAUAAAUCAACAAUGCCUGCA